UUAAUGUUCCAGAGUAGGGUUGACAGUCUAUGUGCGAAUUUUUUUUUCUUUGCGUGUGUAGGAAAAUGAUUCCAUGGUAGCAUUGCCACCAUAAGUACGGUGCUAACAGUUUGAAAUGGGCUCCAUGUGAUGCAUGUAUGAUAUCGCUCUGUCCAUCAUGCACACGGCACCUCGUUCAGCCAUAGGCCUAAAAAUCAGCCUGAUCCAUCACCCUGGCCCAUUCCAAAGUGUUACCACCAUAAUUAUGGCGGUAACAUUACCGUGGAAUCCCAUAUAUAUGGGAAAAAAGGUACUAUGAGGUUGACCUUAUUGGAGCUUUCCAUGAGGUCGAACUCUGUGGGCCCCACCAUGAUGUGUCAGACAUAUGAACCAUGCACUGGUGUGUCCCAAAAAUAAACUGUAUUUGGAAAUCAGGAGGGCUACAUAUUUGAAGUCUUCGUACUGGUUACAAAUACUUAUGCAGGAUUAUACUUUCUUCUAAUCCUAGAGCCAAACCAUUUUAUAGACCUUAAGUACACAUCAGAGUCCCUCGGAAAUCCUCAACGAGGAAUUUUCAACUCUUACUGAUGAAAAAAGGACUUUACAGCUCUUUGAUUUAUUCCUAUCAGUCUAAUCUAUCCAAAAUAGGAUACUUAGGCCCUGUUUGUUAAAUCUGAAGUCUGAAGCCUGAAUCUGAAGUCAGAAAACCUGUUUGCUAACUGUUUGGAAAAAGUGCUGAAGUCGGAAAAAUAAGUACUGAAUAUGAAACAAUCUGUUUGUUAUCAAAUGUCUGAAAUGCCUGAAAUCUGUUAAUUUGACACAUUUGCCCAUCCCACAGGAAACAGCCGUGAUUGAAUCACUACCAUCAAAAACAUCAUGGAUUCCACCGGAAUGUUUUUUUUUUUUUUUUGCCAUCCAACUAGUUCAUAAGGUCAUAAAGACCUAGAUGAAGAGAGCACACAAAUAUCAUCUUGAUCCAAAUCUUUUGUGGCCCACAAGAAUUUUUUUAAAAUUUUUUUUGAAGAGUAACAAAAGAUUUAUAUUUAGAAAAAAACGAUUACAAAAGAGGAAAUUGACCCGCUGAGAUGGUGGGCCAAAAUACUUAAGAAAACGAAAACAGAUUACAGUUGCUAAUGUGAAGUACAUUGGAAGCCCACAAGAAAUUUUUAAUGGUCAAUUAACACUAUUUCCUGUACUAUUGUCCAUUGGAGAUUUGGAUCUCCUUCAUUUUUUGGAUCAUGACCUAAAACGAGCUUUCAAUAUGGUGGACAAUGUGGAUGUAGUCACAUACAUAAUGGUGGGCCCCACAAUGAGGUGUCCCACCCACCUCGAUGGAUCCGGGGACAUAGAUUGCUAGCUGAUGAUGUUGGUAGCUUGUAACUACUGGACGAUGUUGUGUGCCCCCCACCAUGAUGUAUGUGUUUUAUCCACAUUAUCCAUCCAUUUUUCUGGAUCAUUUUAGGGAACUAUCCAAAAAAUGAGGAAAAUCCAAAUCUCAUGUGGACCACACCAUAGGAAACAAUGGUGAUUGAAUGCCCACCAUUAAAAGCUUCUUGGGGACUUCAGAAGUUUUGAAUGAAGCUGAUAUUUAUGUAUUCCCCUCAUCCUAGUUUGUGUGACCCAAUCAACAGGUUGGAUGGUAAAUAAACAUUACAGUGGGUCCUAGGAAGUUUUUAAUGGUGGGCAUUCGAUCACCACUGUUUUCUUGUGGUGUGGUCCACUUGAGAUUCGGAUCUAUAUCAUUUUUGGGCUCAUGCCAUAAAAUGAUAUGGAAAAAUAGAUGGAUGGCGUGGAUAAAACACAUAUAUCAUGGUGGGCCCACAGAACACUGUCUAGUAGCCACCAAGCUACUAGGCAAUCUGCGUCUAUAUUCGGGAUCCACUGAACCCACACCCCCAAAUCCGGGAAGCGGAUUGCGUGGUGUGCUCGGUGUUGUGUUGACGUCACCAAGUUCUAUCAGCUCCACCAUGAUGUAUGUGUUAUAUCCACACCGUACAUCUAUUUGGCGACAUCAUUUUAGGUCAUGAGCCCAAAAAUGAGGCAUAUCCAAAGCUCAAAUGGACAGCAAAACGGAAAGCGGUGAGGACAAUGAUUCUUACCGUUGAAACUUUCCUAUGGCCCACCAUGAUGUUUAUUUGUCAUCGAACAUGUUCAUGAGGUCACAAAGACCUGAAUGAAGGGAAAAAUAUCAGAUUGAUUCAAAACUUCUUUGGCCCCCUAGAAGUUUUUAAUGGUAGACAUUCAAUCCCCCCUGCAUUCUGUGGUGUGGUCCACUUGAGCUUCGGAUCUAUCUCAUUUUUGGGUUCAUGCCCUAAAAGUAUCUCAUAAAAUGAGCGGACAGUGUGGAUGUAACACAUACAUCAUGGUGGAGAACUUGAUGACGUCAACACACAAGGGAGGUCGGUAGUGUGUGGCACACCAUGCAAUCCGUUUCCCAAAUCCGGUGGGGAUUGGGUACUAUCCAACCAGGACCUAGCUAGAGACGGCAGGUCCUGUCAAGGGCUCUGCCGGGCCUACCUUGAUGUAUAUGUUUUGUCCACACUGUCCAUCCAAUUUUCCAUACCAUUUUAGGGCAUAUGACUAGAAAUGAGGCAGAUCUAAGGCUCAAGUGGGCCACAUUGCAAGAAAUAGUGGGAAUUGGAAGCCUACUGUUAAACCUUCUUGGGGCCACAGAAACCUCUAAUCAAGUAGAUAUCUGUGUUUUCCCUUCAUCUAGGUUUGUGUGACCUUAUGAAGAGGUUAGAUGGCAAAUAAACCUCAUAGUGAACCCUAGGAAGGUUUCAAGGGUAGUUGUUCAAUUCCCGCUGCUCUCUGUAGUGUGGUCCACUUGACCUUUGGAUGUGCCUCAGUUUUUGAGCUCAUGCUCUAGACUGAUUUGGAAAAGUUGAUGGACGGUGUGUAUCUAACACAUAAAUCAUGGUGGGGCCAGAGAAGUUCCACACGUAAAAUGUUGGGUUGCGUAUUAUGCAAUUUAUUUGGGAAUCUUGUCGCAAUGUGCAGGACAAUUUUGGAAGUUUUUUUUUUAAAGAAUCCGCAGAGCACAUUCUGUAUUCCCCAUUAACCCAAACCUCAAUUGUGGAAAAAAUUAUGGGAAAAUCAUGGAGUGCUUUCCAAAUUCAAAGUUAACAAACAACACUUAACACGGAGUGCUUUCAGGAUUCCACAUUAAGUAAAAAUUUUCAGUGUUAACAAACAGGCCCUUAGUGGAGCAACAACUGUAUCUAAAAAGACAGCCAUAUUGUAAUGGCCUAAAAUUAGCAAGUGUAGCUCCAAAAUAAUAAAAAAAAAAACCUUAAAAUCAUGAGAGAAUCAAGAAAUUCAACAACUAUAUUUUGCCAAAAAUAGCAAUUGUAGUUCCAGAAAUUAAUAAGUAGCAGCAGCAAACAGCCCAAAAUUUCAGCAUGUGGCCUUUUGUGAGUUACAUAUCUGAUUUGUUCAAUUCAUCUCCCAUAAUCCAUGUCCAUUUAGAAUGGUGCUUAUCCUUCAAUUUCACCUAGUACUGCUUGUAUUAGGCUGAUAAGAAAAUAAAGGAAAAAGCAUUGCUUGUAUCAGCCUCGUCUGGUGUAGGUAGUCAUCAAGCAUAACACUGGUUCAACUUUGUUAUAAAAGGAGAACAUAAGUUCCAUCUGAUUAAAUGGGACAAGGUGUGUAAGCCGUUUGAAGGAGUGAGAUGACCGAAUUUAGAAUAAUUGAACCAAGCUCUUUUAUAGACAUGGAUUUGGAGGUUUAGGGUGGAAAAAGGAAAUGUUUGGAGAGAGGUGCUUGAAAGGAAGUAUGGUGUUCGAUUAGGGUGGUGAUGGACAAUGGAAACAUUGUUUUAUGGGCUGUGAAAGUCAGCAUCGUCGCUGAGGUGUAAAUAUGGAGAAUGUGAGCUUUGUGGGUGUCAGGAAGAACAUUUGCUUUUGGGAGGGUAUUUGGUUGGGGAAAGGCACCGAAUGAAGUUUUUCCAAAUUAGCGAGCUUAUCCGCAGAGGCAAAUAUAUCAGUGGCACACUGUUUCUUUUUCUUAGGUUAAGUGAUAUGGGCCCCUCCAUGCCACAAGAAUUUGCAGCUGAAGAGACAGAAGACUUGGUCAAGCUUCAGGAGAUACUUCGCAGUGUGAAACUCACAUGGCACAGAGGCAGUGUGGGCAAAGUCAGCAAGGCAAUCUGGAGAAUGGCGACGUUGACUGGUCUAUGGUUUAUAUGGGGUGAAAGGAAUAGUUGUUGUUUCAAGAAUAGAUGUGGGAGGGUAUUAGACAUGUUCAAUAGGGUAAAACUCAAUGUAAUGAAUGGGCUAUGGCAUCAGAUGUAUUAGGCAAAGUUUUUUGCUUCCUAUUUCAUGGUUUGAGUUGUAAUUCUUUUGGCUUCGGCCUCUUUUUAGUAAAAUAUUGUCUCUAAAAAAAAACUUUGUUAUAAAGGAUCAGUAGGCUCGUUCAACUUCUUUCAUCUUUUUCGAGAGUUGUUUGCCAUAUCAGCAUUAAAUUUGUCUUACACAUUAGACAUCUUGCCAUAGAACUUGAACAAAUUAACCAUGUUAAAAGUUGGGGAGAUCCAAGUCAUCUGGCAAUGCAAUCAUGUAGGUGUUGUUAACCAGCUUCUCUUCACUUGACAUGGCCAAUCUUCUUAUACUUGAGCUUUUUAUAACGUACUAGUUCAUGUUGAAUAGAAGAUGAGGAUGGAGCAUGACUGAAAGUUGCACUGAGAAGAUACUAUUAACCAUCUGAUAUGUCCCUUCGAAUUUGGUCCGCUCACUAAUUUACUUUUAACCAUCCAUUCUAUAGCCAUUAAUUGGAUGGUUAGGAUUGAUUAAUCAGUAUGCUUUUGGGGACAUGCUCCAUCCACAAUGAGACCCACAGUUUGGAUGAUUUGAGGGAGGGAGGGAGUCUUUUAGUUAUAAACAUGUCUCUUCCGAAGGUUGUCACAUGCAAAAACCUUGUUUUUGCCCAUCAACCAAGCAAAAGCAGUCACCCUAGGCAACCCCUUAUAAGAACAAAUGAAUUCUCUUGAGACACUUUCUGCACCAGGCUGAGAAGAUAAGAUGUUAUCAUAGAAUGAGCAAACCGAGAAGUUUCCUGACUUAUCCUGAAUCCAAACCCAACCAUCCCUGUUACUCACCAAAGGCUUCCAGCUUUGCAACAGAUCCAACAGACCAAUCAUUUCCCCAUCACCUUUUUUACAUUCCACCCAUAAUGGGACAUGUGUCCACUAUCUUUGUAGGAUGGGAGAGAGGAAGCUUCCUUGGGAAAUUACCUCCCUCGUCAAAUUCAAAUGGCGCCACAUUGAUGACUCUUCAACCGCACAUGGCAUAGCCGUAUGGCAAUCCAGACUAUACCCAAAUCACCAACCCGACUCUAGAUGGAUAAUGGAUUAUAAUAAAGAAAAUUGCACAAUGAAGGUAAUGUUGUCCAUCUGAUUUUUGUUUUUCAUUUUUUAUUUUCUAUUUACUGAUUUUCUAUACAUAUAUUUUUAAUUUUUAGUGUUUUGGGCGAUUCUUCCUAUAUUGGACGAGUCUUAUCACGCGAGUUGUAUCAAUGUAAGUGAUACGACUUGUUCCAAUACCCAAAUGAGUCGUACCAUGAAAUGGUUACUUUAAUCCUCGAAGCAAGGUAUUCAAAAUCGGUUACGUAAUGGCCAUGGUCAUAACUGUUACGCGUCAUGGGGCCAUAACGGUCCUGUAAUGGCCCCGCAACAAACCGUAGAGACCCCGCAAUGGUCCUGUAACAGUUUUUUUUUUU